GGCUGAAAUUCGCCUUCAUGAAGCCGGAAUUGCUAGUAAUGGCAGGUCAGCAUACUGCCGUGAAUACGUUCCCGGGCCUUGUACACACCGCCCGUCACACCAUGAGAGUUGGGAAUACCCGAAGCCUGUGAGCUAACUUUUAAGAGGCAGCAGUCGAAGGUAGAAUCAAUGAUUGGGGUGAAGUCGUAACAAGGUAUC
rnacentral:rRNA from 1 species